rnacentral:rRNA from 1 species
GCGGUGGAGCAUGUGGUUUAAUUCGAAGCAACGCGAAGAACCUUACCAGGCCUUGACAUGCAGAGAACUUUCCAGAGAUGGAUUGGUGCCUUCGGGAACUCUGACACAGGUGCUGCAUGGCUGUCGUCAGCUCGUGUCGUGAGAUGUUGGGUUAAGUCCCGUAACGAGCGCAACCCUUGUCCUUAGUUACCAGCACGUUAUGGUGGGCACUCUAAGGAGACUGCCGGUGACAAACCGGAGGAAGGUGGGGAUGACGUCAAGUCCUCAUGGCCUUUAUGACCAGGGCUACACACGUACUACAAUGGCCGAUACAAAGGGCAGCGACACUGCGAGGUGAAGCCAAUCCCGUAAAAUCGGUCUCAGUCCGGAUUGGAGUCUGCAACUCGACUCCAUGAAGUUGGAAUCGCUAGUAAUCGUGGAUCAGCAUGCCACGGUGAAUACGUUCCCGGGCCUU